GGUUGAUCCUGCCGGACCCGACUGCUAUCAGAGUGGGACUAAGCCAUGCGAGUCAACGUAGAAAUACGUGGCAUACGGCUCAGUAACACGUAGUCAACAUGCCCAGGGGACGUGGAUAACCUCGGGAAACUGAGGAUAAACCGCGAUAGGCCAUGAUUUCUGGAAUGGUUCAUGGCCGAAAUCUAUAUGGCCCCUGGAUUGGACUGCGGCCGAUCAGGCUGUUGGUGAGGUAAUGGCCCACCAAACCUGUAACCGGUACGGGCUCUGAGAGGAGGAGCCCGGAGAUGGGCACUGAGACAAGGGCCCAGGCCCUAUGGGGCGCAGCAGGCGCGAAAUCUCUGCAAUAGGCGAAAGCUUGACAGGGUUACUCUGAGUGGUUCCCGUUAAGGGGAUCUUUUGGCACCUUUAAAAAUGGUGCAGAAUAAGGGGUGGGCAAGUCUGGUGUCAGCCGCCGCGGUAAUACCAGCACCCCGAGUGGUCGGGACGGAUUAUAGCACCUAAAGCAUCCGUAGCCGGUACUGCAAGUCUUCCGUUAAAUCCACCUGCUUAACAGUUGGGCUGCGGGGGAUACUACAGCGCUAGGAGGCGGGAGAGGCAAGCGGUACUCAAUGGGUAGGGGUAAAAUCCGCUGAUCCAUUGAAG
rnacentral:rRNA from 1 species